CCGCGGCCUGCCUCCGUCUCGCGAGAGGAGGCCGCAGGGGGCGGGGCGUGUGCGCGGACAAACGGAAGUGCAGGUGACGGUUGAGACUUCGCCGCCAAGCUGGGAACCGGGGAGAUGGCCGAGACUGACCCCAAGACCAUGCAGGACCUCACCUCGGUGGUGGAGACGCUCCUACAACAGAUGCAAGAUAAAUUUCAGACCAUGUCCGACCAGAUCAUUGGCAGAAAUAUCCUUUGUACGCGUGGUUAGCCUCGCCUGCGUCCGGGCGGCGGUGUUGACAAACGUGAGGUUUUGCGGGACAGCCUCAGGCGGUCGUUCACCACCUUUUUUCCUUUUCUUUUUUUUUUUUUUUUUUUUUGGUACUGAUUUUGGAUGUAGUCUUAGGUGCUGUGCCAAGGGCUGGGGAUACAGCUGAGCUGGACCCCUGGCUGCUGGGGAUUUCCAGUCUACCAGCAGUGUAGACUGCUGAAGUGACAAUGUUCCCUUUAGUUAGCCCAUGCAGACCGCGGAAGCUUCGGAAGGUUGCAAGAACUUGCCCAGGUCCCAGAGCUAGUAAAGGGCAGGGCUGGGAUGUGACCGUGGCCCCCAGACCCCUGCACUCUUGGCCAGCAGAAGUCGGUACUCAAAGGAAGUUGGAAAAGGCAGUUCCGCUGAGACAGAUGUGCGGGGGGCCGAAGUCUCCAGGGGCCCUGGAGGGGAAGGGUGAGGAGUGAGGGGUGUUGGUUGUGUGUGGCCUUUAACUUCACCACUUGAUGACAUGAGCAGUCGCAUUGACGACCUGGAGAAAAACAUUGCAGACCUCAUGACACAGGCUGGCGUGGAAGAACUGGAAGGCGAAAGCAAGAUCCCAGCCACGCCAAAGAGUUGAAGGUUGCUAAUUCACCCUGAGACCCGGAGCACCGUUUUUACAAGCGAAGAGAAGACCGAAUGGCUUUCUGAAGCAACUACUAUGCGUAGACAGGUUUUCUGUUAGAAAGUGUGCGUUCUUACCACAUACUACAUAGUUAGUUCAUAGAGUGAUUCUCCCCCCAGUUUCUUGAACAUGGUAACGUCGCAUCUUGGACCUUGGUCAGUCGUGCUGUUAAAUAUUAAACACUAAAACUUUGGCGGUUCCUGCAUAAAAUUGUCAAGUUUUUUAGUGUAUAUUUGUGAACUCAUCGUUUUCUAUCAUUCCUUUUGUAGUAGUUGCUGUUUGAUGAAAGUUGCUGUGUAAAUUUUUAUUAGACAUAUGGUAGGUCCUUCAGUUCCAAUCAGAUUUUGUGAAGGAAGACGUUUGGCAAGUUGACGACUCUCUGAUUCUCAGCUCAGAGUGACUGUUGAGCCGACACCAAAUAGCACGUCGGUGAUACUUUUCAAGUGGUUCAGAACGUUUAAAAACUGUUCGUUCAGAAAUCUCUGGCGCUGCCCUGUUGCCAAAAUUCAAAGUUGAACCGCAAUUUGAUGUCUUAAGGCUCUGAGGUCAGACGCCAGAGUAAUGAGGAAUGGCCACUCCCGCUUCUGUGUGUUAGAAUUCUCAAAUCUGGAAAAUGACAGAACUGCCUCAUGUAGUGAGGCGUUCAUUAGUUAGAGUUUUGCAUGAGAUUUGAACACUUGAGUAGGCCCCUGUGCUGUUCGUCUACGAUAGUCCUCGUUGAAAAGCUGGCAGGAUUUCACGACCCAGCUCGCCGUCUUGUCUUGGAGCUGCUGACCAGGAGAAGGAACAGAACCGGAGAGCAGAUCAUGCUAAGUUCGUGCCAUAGCCCGGCUACAAAAUGGUAAAUGACUUGUCAUAGGCUCAAGUUUUUAAGAUACACUGUUUCUUUAAACGAUUUCUUACCUAAAUUCUUACAGAGUAAUGGUUUUAUUAUUGACCUUACGAGACAGGGGUAGUAACUCCUACCAGUCAAAAAGGCAGUGCCCAGAGCGCUAAGCCUAGAGGCCGGCCCUGACCGUGCACGAGAUCCCUCUGAUUGUCACAGCAAACGUGACUCCGUCUACAAAAAAAUGGGAAAAGUUGAGGGAUGGUCUAGCGCUUCUUAGAAACCCUGAAUGAACAGUGUGAGUUUUUUUUAAAGUUUCCUAUAUCACCAGUCGUGUUUGUAUUGCAAAUAUAUAAUAUUGUUGAGAAAUAACUUGUCGUAUUUAUAAAUAACGUAGGUAACACAAAGGAGUAAGUUUCCUCUGAGCUGAGUGAAUGACCCACUGUUACUGCCCUGCCACAGAAACUCCUCUGAUGGGCCGGUAGGCCACGCCGUGCACGGCUGAGCCGCGAGCCCCGGGGCUGCUGGCCUCCAGCUGACAGGAGCCCCGAGUGCACGAAGCUCGCGAGCCUGGUCAGUGGCGAGCGGAAGUGAUGCGGCCGAUUGCUGUCGGGACUUGGGUGGGAGUUGUCUUCCUUACGUGACAAAGAUUGCAGAGGCAGGCUCCCCUGACCAGGAAUACCCGCCAUGAAUAAAGGUGCCUGAAAUCCU